rnacentral:rRNA from 1 species
AAUCACGCUGGCGGCGUGCCUAACACAUGCAAGUCGAACGCGAAAGGGGCUUCGGUCCUGAGUAGAGUGGCGGACGGGUGAGUAACACGUGGAUGACCUGCCCUCGAGUGGGGGGAUAACUCUUCGAAAGGGGGAGCUAAGACCGCAUGAGCUCCCGGGGGCGACUCUGGGAGGAAAGCCUGAGGGUGCUGGAGGAGGGGUCCGCGACCGAUUAGCUGGUUGGUGGGGUAAGGGCCUACCAAGGCGACGAUCGGUAGCCGGUCUGAGAGGACGGACGGCCACACUGGAACUGAGAGACGGUCCAGACUCCUACGGGAGGCAGCAGUCGAGAAUAGUCUACAAUGGUCGGAAGACUGAUAGUGCGACGCCGCGUGAACGAUGAAUCCCUUCGGGGUGUAAAGUUCUUUUAUAUGUGAGCAGUGCUUCUUAUAUUAACAGUAUGGGGAGAGAGAUAUUAGCAUAUGAAUAAGCAACGGCUAACUCCGUG